UGGGGAAUCUUGCGCAAUGCGCGAAAGCGUGACGCAGCAACGCCGCGUGGGGGAAGACGGCCUUCGGGUUGUAAACCCCUUUCAGUUGGGACGAAGGUUCGGUCGGUGAAUAGCCGGCAAAACUGACGAUACCUUCAGAAAAAGCCCCGGCUAACUACGUGCCAGCAGCCGCGGUAAUACGUAGAAAGCAAGCGUUGUCCAGAAUCAUUGGGCGUAAAGCGCGUGUAGGCGGCCCGAUAAGUCCGCUGUGAAAGUCCAGGGCUCAACCCUAAAAUGCCAGUGGAUACUGUCGGGCUAGAGUCCAGAAAAGGCGAGUGGAAUUCCUGGUGUAGCGGUGAAAUGCGCAGAUAUCAGGAAGAACACCAAUGGCGAAGGCAGCUCGCUGGGACGGUACUGACGCUGAGACGCGAAAGCAUAAAAAGCAAACAGG
rnacentral:rRNA from 1 species